rnacentral:lncRNA from 1 species
CCAAACUACUAAACCGUACUCAAUAAUAUUGGUUCAGUUCUAAUCCUAAAGUGAAUUUAACAUAGAAACUAGGAAGGUACAAAGGGCCAUACAUGGAUUUCUGGGUUUGGUUCAUUGAACUCCAAGGGAUCGGAUUGAUAUGGUCGUCGAUGUUGAAAGUGUUAAGGUUGGAGGACUUUGGGCUCUGGUAACGCAGAUGAGAGAGAGGAAGAAACAGAGAAAUAGAUACAAUAAAGAAAGAGAAAAGGAGAACGAGAAACAUAACCGACAGACGGUGGCCGAAAGAAAUUGGAUGGGCAUACUGGGAACGGCCGAGGAGAGAGUUGGUUGUUGUCAUAGUUGAUUGUGGUGAGGUUUUUCUGUGUUGGGGUUUUAGGUCUGAACUUUAUGCGGAGCUUCUUUCAAAACGGACUGAGUUGUUUUUUGGUUCUUUAUUUUUAUUUUAUUUUUGUCUUUAAAUUAAUUAAGGGAGGUUGUCCUCCUCCAAAAUGGUAGUUAGACUUACACCUUCAAUUUUUGAACAUUCUGUAAUCCUAAAUUACCUUUGACACAAUCAAGUCCCUUACUCUCUUUUCUCAGCCGAGAGGAUUUUAAUUAAGGCAAACAUCUUAGGACACCUGGUGGGAAUAGCACCAGCCGAAAAAAUGUUUGUCUCAAAAUUGUCACAGUUAAUAAAAGUGACCAAGGGACUUACAGUUCAAUCGUCCUUCUAGUUUGCGCACGCGGGUGUGCUUGCUUGCGGCCGAAUGGGUAAUUGUAAGCCGAGAAAGGAACUGGCCGUCUCAACCGUUAGGUUUUUUUUUCUUUUGUUACAAGGACCUUGGCGUUUUCACUGAUAUUCCUUCUAUUUUUGUGAAUAUUUAUAUAAAUCGCAGGAAAGUAAAUAUGCUAAAAUUAAAGAGCAGAAAGUAAAUGUGAGAAAUUAAACUGUAUGAAAUAUAAAGAGGUGGAAGAGUAAUUUACGCGCAGAAUGUAAAGAACCGAUAAAAACGAAGAANNNNNNNNNNNNNNNNNNNNNNNNNNNNNNNNNNNNNNNNNNNNNNNNNNNNNNNNNNNNNNNNNNNNNNNNNNNNNNNNNNNNNNNNNNNNNNNNNNNNNNNNNNNNNNNNNNNNNNNNNUUUUUUGAGAUAACCCGCCAAGAAAAUUGUAUAUUUAUUAUAAGUAUGAUAGAUUGUUACAUAUCUUACCGUUGCUAUUUAUAGACAGACAAGGAGCUGGUGGUAGUUUCCACAAUGAUACAUAGACAAUAGACCUAAUGGUACACAAUAUGGAUCGUAGAGUUAGUGGUAACCCUCUUUGAAUACUACUCUAGAGGCGGCACUUGGUUGCAGUGCUUAGCUUCCUACAAACAUAGUAAAUUUAUUAGUAAAAAACUAGUAAAAACUAGUCUAAUUCUUAGAUGCACAAAAGGGCAUAAGAGACAAAAAAAAAUAACAUUAAAUGAAAGUAAAAGUGGGCCGGAAGCCCACCCUAGAAGCAUCACCUAUAGAGCCCAAAACAUGCAAUCCAAAGCCUGAUCCAUUCUCAGAACAACAACAUGUCAUACGACAUCACCUUCUCCGCAGCCGAUCUACACCACCUGACGCGCAACCAAUCGCCACCGUCACGGCGCCACGGACCACGUCAUUUGGUAUAGAUCGGUUCGCCUUCACGUCGUCAUAAUCUUCGCUAGAGUCAGGUCUGUCUCGACCACGCCGUGAAAGGGAGAUGGAGUUUAGGGUUUAGGUUGCUGUUUGAAGACUCUGCAUGUGACUUUCCCAUGGAGAAAACCUUUGGCCUUCAUUGAAUACUCGCCCGGCAACACCUUAGAUAGCGAGGCGAUCAAGAACUAGCCAUCUAAAGGUGCCACCAAAUAGGGUAAUUAGGUCAUCCCCAGAUAAUAUAAAAAUGAAAUAUCACCUUUUAAUACUGCUAAUUAGCCCAUAAAUAUUAAUUUGUUGUCAUGUGUCUCUGUUACUCCUAUACUUAAUACGUAUAGGUGUUAAAAAUCAAAAAAUGAAUCUUGGUAAAUCUCAAUAGGAAUGAAUAAUAAUUAGGAGAAAAUACUGGUUACUCUAUUAACUUUCAUGCACUCGACAGUUUACUCCAUUAACUUUCAAUUUCAAUCGAUCACUUCUGCAACUAUCCAAUGUCACACAAUCUUCAAUAUCCAAUGUCACACAAUUAAGUCCAUCCGUUAAGUGGCCGUCCAAAUCAGUGGUUAAGUUGAUGACUAUUCAUAUUUUUCAAUGUCAACUCAGCUAGAUGAAAGGAGAAAUUUCAUUUAACACCCCAACUUCAAAUCCCACAAUUAUUCUUUCCCCAAAUCGUUAAAACUUCCCAAAACCCUAAACCCCCAAAUUCACAAAUCCCUACCAACCAUGGCUCCUCCAAGUCUCCUCGGCCACCCACAACUCCACCGAUCCAAUGUCCCCACCACCUAACCCGAACCCGCAUCUGGCGAUGCCUUCAUGGACUCCCUAGUCGUCGACUUUAACAACCUUAACAAACCAACAACGCCAAAACCCCUAAUGGGCUUCACCGAGAACAACUCAGCCACAUACCUCUCCUCCGGCAACCCCUGCCUCGACCUCUUCUUCCACGCCGUCCCCGACACUCUCUCCUCCUACCUCCAUCAACAACUCCCUCUCGCUUGGGCCCACGACGCCCUCACCACCCUCAAGCUCAUCUGCAACCUCCGUGGCGUCCGCGGCACUAGAAAGUCCGACAAAGAAGGCUUAUACACGGCCGUGCUCUGGCUCCCAGCCACCACCCCAAAACCCUAGCCUGCAACGACACCUCCCUCGCCAUGUUCGGCUACUUCAAGGACCUCCCAGAGAUUCUCUACCACCUCCUACAAGGCCAGGACGUCCGAAAGAACUAGAAGUCCGAAUGGGAGCAGAGAAAGCACUCCAUCGCCAGAAGGCCUUCUCCGAGAUCGACGAAGUCGACGAGAACCGGCCUCGGAGUGAACAGGUAGGAGCCGAAGGAGGUCAGGAGAGACAAGGAGGAGAGAGAAAAGUGGGAAGCCAUGGCUGGCUAGGUUGAGAGAGAGAGAGAGAGAGAGAGAGAGUGUGUGUGUGUGUGUAGAAAACGAAGGAGGUGGGGUGUUAAAUAGAAUUUCUCCUUUCAUCCAGCUGAGUUGACAUUGAAAAAUAUGUCCAGUCAUCAACUUAACCACUGAUUUGGACAGCCACUUAACGGAUGGACCUAAUUGUGUGACAUUGGAUAGUUGAAAGAGUGAUCAAUUGAAAUUAAAAGUGAAUGGAGUAAACUGUCGAGUGCAUGAAAGUUAAUAGAGUGACUAGUAUUUUCUCCUAAUAAUUAUCUGACAUAAUUAGGAUAAUUAUCAUCAAUUGCAACCAGGACACAGUCUGCUUUUUGGCUAUAUUCAAACUCUCAUCCAAUUGCUUAGGCUUAGUAAGUCAACGCGUGAAAGUUAAAUACAAACAAUUAUGUAGAAGCAUAAUAGUCAGAUGCAUAAUAGCUAGUGUAGCCUAGCUUUCCCACUAUGUUGUCAUUGAAAUAUGCAACCAAUGACAGUAAGUUUCACCCUACCAUUAAGAGGUAGCGACCAAUUAACCAAACAAGGAAGUCGUUGUUUGUCUAGAGCUGAUAAGGCAUAUGAGAUGCAUAGACCAUAACCAAAUCCUAUGUUGUCCUACCAUUUGAAGUUAGGUAUUUGUUGGCAUAAAGUCGUAUUAUAAAUAAAACAUAAAAUAGUUGACAAAAAAAAUAAAAACAAAAACAAAAUGGGACUAGAGCACAACAUACAAGCCCAAGCCUAGACUCAAUACUUAGCAGGUCCAAGGCCAAAUAAAAGGUUGCAAAAAACCGUGUCACUAUAUCCGCGCCUGUCCCAAUGUUCGGGUGCCGACUACAACUCUAACAUCUCUCUCCCUCCGGCUAGACGUCCUACUCCCAAGACCACAAUCCAACCUGCCAAGAUCAGAUCCAAAUCAGUAAACCCAAAUCAAAUCACAACCGCUCUAGAUCAACUUCAAGCAUCCCAAUCCAUAUCGGAUUCAAGUCUCCCCAAGAUUAUUGGAGCCUAGCCCGCCAUCACCUGAACCAUUGGCACCUAGCAAACGUCAUGGAUUUUAACUUGUCAUAGCCAAACUUUUCAUGACGCUUGUGAAUCGUCAUGACUCAUUCCAUUCACAACACUUAUCAAAUGUCAUCAUAAUACUAUACAUGACGUCUAUGUUGCACGGACAGUCCACACCUGACAUGUCUCGGACACGUUGACUGGCCCCGACACGGCAUUGCGACACGCCACGUCAGCGUUUCAGACUUUAAAAAAAAAAAAAAGUUUGGAUGGAUUAUGGAUAUGAUAAUUAUAUUAGUUCAUCUUCUUAUCUAUUAGGUGCUACUGUGCUAGAGAUUGCCCUGUUUGAAACCUAUUUGAAAACAAACUACUGCUCAAGUUUAUUUUUCUUUAAUGUUAUGUUCUAGGUGCUAGAAGUCUGUUGUUUUUAAUGUUAUUAGUUAUGCACUUGACUUAUUUCUUAUGGUUAUGAAAUAGAUUGAAUUUAGAACUUUAUUUGGUAAUGUGAUGAACUUAUUUCAUAUUUUAGUAUAUUUUUUAUUUAUUAAAAAUACAUAAAUAUAUAAUUUUGUUAGCCUUGUCGGAAACUCAGUUUUUGAGUUUUGUCGUGUAGUCGUGUCGUGUCGCAGUGUCCGUGUCCGUGUCUGUGUCCGUGUCCGUGUCUGUGCAACUUAGCAUGACGUAUUCCAAACGUCAUGGCCUAGUUAUCAUUCACGGUGUUUAUCAAUCGUCAUGAAAAAUAUGUUUAAAACGUUUGAAAAUUAUCAUAGAAAUGAUAGCAGUUGGAAAACAACAUCAAAUAAUAAGAUCUUCAAUGAUAUUUGGUAAACGUCAUGGACUUAAGAUGAAAUUUAGAUCUAUGACGUUUGCUUCCGAAUACGUCAUAAAAAAAGCAUACAAUAACGUUUUCGGACACACGUCAUAGAAAUUUUUCCAUAGUAGUGUCCAUUCUAGGGUGUUACAUAAAUGGUACCCUAUUGGGCACCAUUGGAGGUGCCAUUACCUAGAUGGUGUAGGCAAUGUGUACAAUGGUAAGUCUAGAUGGUUUAUAUAUUAUAAUUUAUGAAUCAUGAUAUAGUGAAAAAUGAAAUAAUUAAACAUAAUAUAUCAUUUAUUGAAGAAAAAACUAAUACAUGAACCAAACAUGAUGCGACCAAAGAAAAUAGACAAACAAGUUAAAGAUAAGAACAAUACUGUAACUUAUUCAGACCAAACCAAAAUAAAGGCAACAAGAAAACUGUAGAAACAUGAAACGAAAUGCUAGUGCAGAUUUUCGUAGAGAUCGAAGAUCUAAUGAGAUUAUUUUAUCACCGUCUAAGGAAACCUUGCAACGUUAAUUUCACCAGUAAUGUUAGCUUCGUUGGUGCUUUCCAUUCCCCAUCCAGUAAUACUACCAGCUGAUGUUGUCACAUUAGCCCCAUAAUAUUGAGAUAGCAUCCCAAAGUACCCCAUCUGAUUUCCAAUAUUCCCAGUAAUUUUAUUUCUAAAAUAUUUCACAUGAGGUAACCCCACACCUCCACCUCCGUUACCUCCAAGAUUUUUGAGGUUACCAUUGUAUGGUACCAUAUUAGGCACCCAUCAACGUUGAUGCUACUUGCAAUGUUAUUUACUCUAUACUAAAACGCGUACAGCCCUAUCACUGUUCAUAAAGACCCCUACGAACUUACAUGUUCGUCCCGUUUUCCCGUUUAUUCACGGUUUUGCCCACUUCUGCUCUUUUUCCGCCUCAUUCUUAUCUUCGUUUGAAUGAGGGCAAAAUAUCUAGCUCAAAGUGCUUUCCCGUGCUGGGCCAUUAAAAAAGCAAAGUUAUACAUUUAUAAUAAUAUAUGCUAAUCCUUAUUUCAUGAAAAGAAGACAACUCUUUAACGUUAGUGUUUAUCCAAGCACACGUCUCCCAAAAUGUUCUCUUCCACCGCCUGUGUUGAUCAUAUCCCUUCCAUCGUCUGUCCACCGAUUGCACCAACCAAUCCCGAAAGAGUGUUAAACGGUUCCAUUUAACAAAACCUUCCUUCCCUCCUUUUCCUUUUCCUCUACAACCACACAGUUCUUGGAUUCUCGGACAUAUAUCUCAGCGCUCCGAAUCAGGUGAGGUAUUCACAUGUCCAUUUGCAAGAUUUGUUUUUUCUUUAUAUACAACAUGUCGCCCUACUUUGGCGAUCUGAUUCGAUCUGCUCUUUUGUUGGUUUCCGGCAGGAUAAAAAUCAAACCGGUUGCAAAUUCAUCGAAGCAAAGAACACAGAGGCAAUACAUUGUUCCAGUUUCAGGUAAACUUUCAUACCGAAUUUAUAUUUCAUAUUCUCACAUUGUCCAACCAAGCAGGUUAUAUACAGCCCAUAUUUUUAGGUUCUUAAUGUGUUCCGAGACUGCUGAAUAAAAAUAUUAAUGUAGGAAAAGUUCUUAAUGGUUUACUACUACAUAUUGUUUUGAAACUUUAUUCAUUGAUAUCAGCUCCGAAUGGAAUAUGCUGUGCAAGCUGGUGUUAAAAACCUUUCCCUGUCACCUUUCACUCCUCUUUGUCCUUUCUUAUGAUCUAAUCUUAGUUCACUUGCUUUAGGUUUCAUAUUCAUAAUUUAAGGGUUUCUUUGCUUCUAUUUCUCACAUUAUCUUCUAUUUGUGAUAUUAAUGUGGCUUCGUUUAAAUUCCUAGAAAAGAUGAACGGGAGUCGGCCAAAUAUUUAUAUCCAACUGAUGCAUUCACUUUGACAGGAAGGAAAGACGAUGGACAUAACACCGGUGAGAGAAAUGGUACCCUUCAGGUACACAUACAAAAUCAGAGUUCGUGUAUCGAGGGUCUGGAGGCCUAGGUUUCGUCGAACUGAGAAAUACGAUGGACUGCACUAUGUGUUGGUUGAUCAAAAUGUAACCUCUGUAAUCUUAUGCUCAUUGCCAAAUGUAUUGUCAAUUUAAUUUUCUUAAUCAUUUUCUGUACUGGACCAGGGAGAUUCAGUUCACGCUCUCAUCGAUGAGGAUCAGCACAAUGAUAUAACACAGGCAGUGGAACUAGGACAACUAUAUGAUAUAUACCGUUUCUCUACGCAUCAAGAUUUUCUUACAUUCAGAGUUCUCCAGAAUGAAACGGUAGUUCAUUUCAAUGGAUCAACGGUAUUUGUGAAAAUAAAUGAGGUCUUGCCUCCAGUGCCACAACACGCAUUUCGACUUAUCGAAUUGGAGGACUUGGAAACAGAAAGAGGAAGCAAGGAAAUCAUGGCAGGCAAGUUUCAAUUCUCUCGCUACUCAAUUCAUGUGUCUGUAUGAGACUACUAUAUACGAUAUGUUGAAUGCUGUGUUUUUGAUUCAAGACGUUUACGGCUGCAUUAAAAGCGUCAGAGUACCACAUGAACAGCCUCUAAGAAAUAAAAAUAAAGUGGAGACAAAAUGUGAAAUCACUGUUCAGAACCUGAGGUAUGGUGUAUGCUGCUAUCUUCACACGGUAAUUCUGUUAACAUUUGCCGUAGGUGGAAAACUAAUCUCUUGCUCAAAUUGCAGAAAGGAGACCCUUGACAUCACUCUUUGGGGAGACAUCGCCAGGUCAUUUGACAUUGGAACUGUGCAAAGAUCGUCUCCUCCUGUUCUUACUGUGUUUACCAGCUUGCUUCUAGGAGAAUAUAAUGGUAAUCACCCAUCACAGACUACUAGAUAUUUUAGAACCGCUAUUUACUCAAAUUAAUAUGCUGCCUCCUUUUACAGAAUAUGUUGUGGCCUCAAACUCAAACCAUACAUGUGUUUUCUUCAAAUCCACCCAUUCCCGCCAGAGACGAGUACAUGAUCGAGUAAGUCAUCCGCAUGAGGAAAAAAAUUCGUAAUUAUGUGGUUUGAAUUUUGGUUCACGCUGAUAUACUUAACUUGGCAAUAUACUGUAAUUGCAUAUGAAUCUUCCUUAAUAUGUUAAAUUAUAUUUUCUGAUUAUGAACAUUUCACUUCUGCAGAUCCUGCUUACAAAUCCUUCUUUGUGCUUUCAAUCCUGUUCUGAAGACUACUUUUCUCUGUUUAAAUGCAAUACGAUAUAUUAAUGACACAUGGAAGACAAUCUGUAUUCUGCUUUUAUAUUGUUUUAACCAUUCACAUUUGUCUAAAUUCACAUAUAUUGAUAACUAACUUCCAAAUUGCAUUCAUACUGAGGCUACAUAUUAGAUGUUCAUACCUUAUAUUCAAACUACAAAAGGAUUGAUCUUUUAUGCAGGUUCUCCAAAACAGGAGACAAGGUGCGCAUAAUCGGUGCCAUCUCCAGUCAUCAAACAACUAAAGGUGUUGAACAACCAAACCAAGUGACUGUGUCAGAGUUGAAUGCACUCAAUCCGAUAGAUUACAUGGUAGUCAUAUGAAUAAUUAUCCAUAUGUUCCCACGAUUGUUAUGUUCAGAUGUUAUGUCACAGGCUUAUCCACUCAAAGCCUCCGAAAUUAUCCUACAUAAUAUCUUACUAAUAACUGUUUAUGUGUUACAGGAAAAGCCGGUAUUCUGCAAUGCUUCAAUCCGAAGAUUCUCACCAAAUGGAUGGUGGUAUAGAAGCUGCUCAACCACCAGCUGUUACAGGAUGCUGCACAAAAAUGAGGAGAAGGACAAUAAGUACUUUUGUCCGCUGCAUGGUCUUCAGGACCCGCAACCAUCGUAUGUAUUUAAAUUCAGCAGAAGCGCUUCCCAGAUUUAAUAUCACCAUCCAAUCAUAGGCAUAUGUAUUGGAGUUUGAAUAACCUGAAAAAUNNNNNNNNNNNNNNNNNNNNAAAAANAAAAAAAANAAAAAAAAAAAAAAAAAAAAAGGGGACUUCCAAGGAAAAUGGUGGAGAGAGUGGAUUACUAGAUAGAGCAUUAUUUCAUUUGUUAUGAGAUAAAUACUCUUUCCAUUUUGCUAUGCAUGAAGCUAUGUGGUCAGGAUGAAAAUUGAGGAUGAAGAGAGCCAGGCCACUUUAACUUUGAUGGGGAGACAAGCUCAACAACUUUUCAAAAAUAGCUGUCAGGAACUGCUGGAGAAGAGGUUCUACCCAACUGAACAAUCAUUGCCUGAGGAAAUUGUAGACACAGUGGGGCAGGCACACCUAUUUCAAAUCAAGCUAAAGCCUGAUCGCAGUUUCACGGUUAGUGGCAUCACUCCAAGCAAAGAUGCAGCAACCACAACAGUGGACCUCCCACAAAUUGAGAGAAAGAGAACAAAUGAGUCAGGCUUGACAACUCUUUCUAAAAAGGAACCGGAAAAGAAGUCCAGGAGGUAAACCUAAUAAAUUGAGUAAAAGUUUAUGUCUUUUUCCACUGCUCAUCAUUACUAAUAUGUCAAUCUAAUAAAAAACAAGGAUUCAUGAGAACAGGGAACUCACUUAUUUCUUCUGUCCAUGUCACAUCAUCAAACAGGGAGACAGCGGAAGAAGCAUCAUCUUCUUCAAGCAUGACGCCUGAUAAAACAAAGAUUGAUUGAAUAUCAAUCUAACAAACUCACUUUUUUGGUAACUUUUGUUGAAGUAACAUCUUCAUCAGAGACUGCCACUGCAGCUUUUGUUCUUUUGUGACAGCAGUCUCUUGACUACCUGGAGUUUUUGUAAAGCACUGAUCCGUGCAAGAGCGUCAUUUUUGUAAACGGUUCCGGAUCCGACUCCAGCGUAUGGUAUGGUUACUUUCGGCAAAUGAAAGGAGCUUCUAAAGCUUUUGUCUACAAACAAAAACAUUGCUGCAAUGUAUAUGAUGUACAGUAGUGUGUUGUAAUGUAUUGUGUUAUCGGAAGAGAGCUUUUGUGGCUUUCCUUAUGUGAUAAACCUUGGCUUUCUUAUACUACGUUCGUUUCAAAUCUAUUUGCGCUUUCAUUUGAUCAACAUACUUUUCUGUUUUAUUAUGUUAGUCAUGCCUUACGUCAUGGGUAACACAUUUUAUUUUGUUUAUCAUGCUUUACAUCAUAGUUAACACGAACAAUGUUGCAAAAAACCAGGGCAAGACACAGGUAUCCUACCUUGAAAAUUGUUAGUUAAGGUAAAAGUAUGAUGUUCAAUAUUUAAGAUAUUUAUGUACACACAAAAAUGUUGUCUAUGAAAACGUAGCUGAGAUAUAUGUGACGUUAGUGUGCAGCAAUGUGAUGUGAUGUAAAGUUAUCAAAUGGGAGCUUCUGUGGCAUAACAUUUUGUGGCUUCUGUUCUGCCGGUUUUUGUUUUGUUUUUUUUUUGGGCAGCCUGAUAGUUGUGCCUCUGUUUUGGUUUUGAUUUGCAGGUUCUUCUAUACUUUUACAACAUAAUACCUGAUAUGUCUCUCUCACUGUUGGUGAGCUUCAGUUACCCAGUCUCAUACAUAUGUUCAUAUAUAUCAUUUUUAUUCAUACCUCAUUUCUUUGUUGUUGUCUUAAAGAAUGCUCCGAUACAAAAUGGUCAGGUUCGAUGUUCAACUUAAAAGCCGUAGCUUUCAUGGUUGAUUAGUACCUGUUAUUGAGUCAUACGGGUUUCUAAUAGUUGAGGGAAUGUGGUCAUUUUUAUGUGAGCUAAUUUUGUUGUUGUUGUUGAUGCACUGUUGUAGGUAGGAGUUUGAUUGCAAAACAAUCUUUUCAUAAAGUUAACAAGAUGAAUACCUAAACGGUUUAAAAACUAUAGAAGAAAAAAUAAAUUUUUUUUUUGUUACAAGAAGAAAAAUAAUAUUUGGCUUGGCCAUUUCACUGCUAUAUCAUCAAAAAAAAGAUAGUGAUACCAUAUUACAUUAUAAUUUCAGAAAAUAAGUAAACCUUUGGCGGUAGGUUAUCUAUCCCAAACAUUAAAACAUUUUAUCUGGCCCUAACUAAUAUCUCUAUACUGAGAUAAUAUCUUUUGUUCUUUCUAGAAGUCAACCUAAAACCCAACCUUUAUCUCUUACACUGAGAUAAUUUUAUCUCUUCCACCGUUUGUGCCAGCCAAUCCGGAAAGAGUGUUAGACGGUUCCAUUUAACUUAACCCCCUUCCCUCUUUCUCUUUCUCCUGUACAACCACACACAGUUCUUGGAUUCUCAUGUUCAUUUGUAAGAUUUGUUUUCCCUUUCCCUGUCACCUUUCACACCUCUCUGUCCUUCCUUAUGAUCUAAUCUUAGUUCUCAUGUUCAUUUGGAAUCAUUUUCGUUCUCUUGCUUUAAGUUUCAUAUCCAUAGUUUAAGGGUUUGUUUGCUUCUGUUUGUAAUAUCAAUGUGGUUUUUUUGUAAAUUCCCCAAAUAGAUCAACUGGAGUAAGCCAAAUAUUAACCUCCAACUAAUGCAUUCACUUUUACAGGAAGGAAACAAGAUGGCGGUAACACCAGUGAUAGUAAUGGUCCCUAACCAGUACUAAUACACAAUCAGAGUACAUGUAUCAAGGCUGUGGAGGCCUAGGUUCAACAACACUGACACAUACGAUGGCCUGCACUAUGUGUUGGUUGAUGAAGAUGUAACUUUUACAAAUCUACUCAUUCCCGUUUACCCAAUUGUGUUGUAAAAUUAAUCCUACUAAUCAUUCAAAACUGAAUCAGGGCGACUCGAUCCACGCUUUCAUCAAUGAAGACCAGCAUGAUGAUUAUAUAAAGAAAGUACACCAAGGACAGGUAUAUGAAAUCUGCCUUUUUACCACGCACCUAGCAGAUCCCCGUGCGUCCAGAGUUCUUCACAAUGACAUGGUGGUGCAUUUCCAUGGACCGACAGAGUUUCUGAAAAUAAAUGAGGCACCUCUAAUCCCACAACAAUCAUUCCAGCUUAUAGAAUUCGAGGACCUGGAAAUGGAAAUAGAAAGAGAGAACAAGGAAGUCUUGACAGGCAAGUUCCAAAUUUCUUAUGGCUCAAUAUUCCUUUAUGCAUAUGCCCCUAAGAUCUUAAAAUACUGACUGUUGUGUUCUUCUGAUGCAAGACAUUUACGGCUGCAUCAAAACUGUUCUAAGGCAAGACAUUUACGGCUGCAUCAAAACUGUCAGGGGACAACAUGAGCAGCCUCUGCAAGCCACAAAAAAACGGUGACAAAGUUUGAGGUCAUUGUUCAAAACCUCAGGUAUGAUAUAUAUAGUGCUUUCUGACACCUCUGAACCUGGUAAAAUACAUGCUAAAUGAUAAAAACCUUAUCUCUUGCUCAAAAUGUAGAAGGAAGACCCUCAAGAUCACUCUUUGGGGAGACAUCGCCAGGUCAUUUGACAUUGAAACUGUGCAAAGAUCACCUUCUCCUGUUCUUGCUGUUUUCACCAGCUUGAAUCUAGGAGAAUAUGAUGGUAACCACUCGCCUCAGACUAUUAGAUAUUUUAGAACCAGUAUUUACACAAAUUAAUAUGCUGCCUCAUUUUACAGGACAUGUUGUGGCCUCAAACUCAAACCAUACAUGUGUUUUCUUCAACCCACCCAUUCCCGCAACAGACGAGUACAUGAUCGAGUAAGUAAUCUGCUUGAAAAACAAAUUCGUCAACAUAAGGUGGUUUGAAUUUUGGUUGACGAUGAUGUACUUAAUUUGGCAAUAUACUGUAAUUACAUCUGAAUCUUCCUUUCUCUGUUAAAUUAUAUUUUCUUAUUAUGAACAUUUCACUGCUGCAGAUCCGGCUUACAAAUCCUUCUUUGUGCUUUCAAUCUUUCUGAAGACUACUACUCUCUUUUUAAGUGCAAUAGCAUAUAUUCUGCUUUUAUAUUGUUUUAACCAUGCGCUUUUUGUUAAAUUCACGUAUAUUGAUAACUAACUUCUAAAUUGCAUACAUACUGAGGCUACGUAUCAGAUGUUCAUACCUUAUAUUCAAACUAUAAAAGGAUUGAUCUUUUAUGCAGGUUCUCCAAAACAGGAGACAACGUGCGCAUAAUUGGUGCCAUCUCCAGCCAUCAAACAACUAAAGGUGUUGAACAACCAAACCAAGUGACUGUGUCAGAGUUGAAUGCACUCAAUCUGAUAAAUUACAUGGUAUUCAUGAGAAUAAUUAUCCGUAUCUACCCACGAUUAUUACAUUAAGAUGUUAUGUCACUUUGAGAUAAUUGGCAAAGCAAAGCAAGUGUUUAUAUUUAAAAAGCGCUUCUGCCAGAUGUUAUGUCACAAACUUAUCCACUAAAAGCCCUUGAAAUUAUCCUACAUAAUAUCUUACUAAUAAUUGUUUAUGUGUUACAGGAGAAGUCGGUAUUCUGCAGUGCUUCGAUUCGAAAAUUCUCACCAAAUGGAUGGUGGUAUAGGAGCAUCAUCUUCUUCAAGCAUGACGCCUGAUAAAACAAAGUUUGAUUGAAUAUCAAUCUAACAAACUCACUUUUUUGUUAACUUUUGUUAAAGUAACAUCUUCAUCAGAGACUGCCACUGCAGCUUUUCUUCUUUUGUGACAGCAGUCUUUUGACCACCUAGAGUUUUUAUAAGGCUCUGAUCGGUGCAAGAGCGUCAUUUUUGUAAACGGCUCCGGACCCGACCCCAGCGUAUGGUAUAUGCUUAUUUUUGACAACUGAAAGGGGCUUCUAAAAGUUUUGUCUACAAACAGAAACAUUGCUGCAAUGUAUGUGAUGCACAUUACUGUGUUGUUAUGUAUUGUGUUAUCGAAAGAGAGCUUUUGUGGCUUUCCUUGCUGGGAUUCUAUGUGACGUUAGUGUGCAGCAAUGUGUUGUGAUGUGAUGUAAAGUUAUCAAAAGGGAGCUUCUGUGGCGGAACAUUUUGUGGUCUCUGUUCUGUUAGGAUUUUGUUUUUUUCAAAAUUGAAGGUCUGAUCGUUGUUCCUUUGUUUUGUGGCUCAUAUGUCUGCCACCAGUGGUAUGCUUUUACCUUAUAACUUAUAAUAACAAAGCAAUUGGAUGGUUUUCUAUACUGUCAGUGUGAGGAGAGGCAUACUUAUACCCUAAAUUAUAAGAUAGUUUCAUCUAUAUGUAUCCAAUUUCAUAGAAUUCUUAACAGAAGAUGGUUCUUCAUGUAUCUUUCAUGUUCAAUUUCAACUGUUUUAUUCCAUUUGCAUUUCCACUUCUACAUAUAAUUUUUUUACGGUUUCCACUGUUUAAAGUGUUGCCUUAUUUAUUCUUGCUCUCCACAAUGAACCCUUAUAUAUAUUGUCCUUCCAGCUGGUAAGAAAAUAUAUAAUGAAUCAUACUGUUGUGCUCCAUUAACACAGACAACAUUGCAAAAAACCGCGGCAAGCCGCGGGCAUCAUCCUUGUUCACAUAACCUUGGUGCAGCAUCUGAAACCCCAGCUCAUUUCCAUUACCACAUCUAUCAUUGUCCACUCCAAGAAUUUUGUAUGGCCACUCCAUAGAAUUCCCCAUGGGCACCCCCAACUUAUUGGCAGUUUCACUUUGAGCACUGGCUUGUUCAAAGAAAGCGAUCUGGAUCUGGAUCUCUUUCAUCUUUGCUUCCAAAAAGUAAAGCAAAGCAUAUGUUUGAUAAAGGUCAAGUUCAUAAAUCGGCUUACCAUUUUGGUUUUGGUGCAUGAGUUCUACCAUCUCCUUCGCAGUGUUCGAUCUAAGAAUUAUGUUGUUCUUCUCUUGCAUUUUUUCAACCUUCUCCUUGAGGUACCUCUCUUGGCAUAGCGCCUUCUUAAGUCGCAUAAAACCUGGUAGUCUCAGGUAUCUCUUGAUCAGUUCCUCCACUUUUGGGCGGUUAGGCCACACAAAUGGCUCGUUACUGCCCCGAUCAUAGAUAACGAUACAAACAUGCACAUCACACAAGGUUUGAAGUUCGCUCACUUUCUUCAUAAGACCAUCCUUUCUGUUGUUAAAGCUUGCUUUCCUAGCUCUCUCACUAUCUAUCAGUGCAAGUUUGACUCUAGCUCUUGGCAUGGUUGAUGCUGCUUAAUUCUGUUCUGGAUGGUCACUCUCUCACAGUCUCACUCUCCCUAUUUGUUUUGAGUGACAAAAUUUCUCUAGGCUUGUACUCAAAUGCGUUCUAUACUCAACCCAAGAAGAGCAUAUAUAUAAGUCUAGAGAACAAACAGAAAAGACUAUCUAUAUACAUGUGUUGUGUGGAUAAAACAUAUGAUGAAUGUCCUUUAAGAGGAGUUAUUAGGUGUUCCCGGCACAUGGCUGAGCUGGUGUUCCCACCCACUAAGCUUAGGACAUGUGGGUUAUUUUACACAUCACUCACCUCACUUGACGUUUGAGAAAACGGAGUUAAUGCCUCUUACUGGUCUGGCAUGGGAAAGAAUAACCUUCCAAGUUCAUAUGAAAUAAAGUUGAAGGACAUGGUCUUCUUGAUGAAAUCGACAGUCGGCGGAGGAAGCAGAGGACGCUCAUAUGAGUUUCCAAACCAAAGAGGUGAGUAGCACAGGAAACCAAACCUUAUGCGUUCUUUAGAACGGACCAAACCUUCGGUGUCUGGUGUUUGGUUUACAGAGAUUUGAGAGGAGAGAGAAAGCAGAUAUGAGUUUUCCUCUCUCCUCCACCACCAACUUCCGAGCACCACCAUGACCCAUCUCCAACACAACUAGACUCAUCGGCUUCCCACGAGUCUGUUCCUACCUCCACAGUCGUCCGACGACAUCGGAAACCAACUGACGCGCUAAUAUACAGAUACCCAAAAUUUUCUCUGGGCACCUAAACUUUCUUCCCUGCAAAUCGAUGAUUGACGAAGAUGAUCCAUCAAAUCAAAAUAGAUGAGAAAUUGAGGAUUUGAAUGAUUUGGAAUAUGAGGCCAGAGAAGCCCAGCGAGAGAGACACAGAAGGUUUGCACAAGUUUGAAGAAUUACAUUGACGGAGUUAACUGCUCAAAAUUCCAUUUAACUCUGAUAUGAAUAUUGUAAACGUGUCAUCUGUUUAUUGGGUGGGAACACCAGCUCAGCCAUGUGCCGGGAACACCUAAUAAUUCCUCUGUCCUUUAAUUGUGUCUGUAUUUAUUUCGAGGUACGGUGUGUUUUUUCCUACUAUGAAAUCUCUAUCAUGACAAUUAAUACGUGCAUGUAUCCAUUAUGAUUACAAAUAUGAGAUGUCUUUAACAUAAAAUGACUGCACGAAUUAAAGUUAAAUUAUGCUGCUUAUCUGAGACUCAAAUAUUGUUGCCCAUGAAUUAUUGCACAGCUUGUUGUCAGGUGCAUUACCAAACUUUCCCUAACUGGUUGUGUAUUUUAUGUGAUAGAUGGCUAGUGAUGCUAUGUCAUUGAGUUUCUAUGGUAUAUCUAUAAUGAUGCUCUGUUUUACAAAGAUUUCAACUUUGUAAUGCAUGGCUGGAAUGAGAGGGUUUUAUGAUGGAAAGAAUUAGCUAGAUUGGAUUAAAUACCGGUAGCUUUUUAUUGAGGAAUUGGAAAGGCGACAUUGAAUGCUCCUUCUCGUCCCAUCUCUCACCAACAUGUCAGAUGAGGUUUCCCAUCGCUUCAUUGCCGCUUUGGCUAUCCGACAAGACGAGCUUUAGUGCCCCAAGCGCGGCCGUAGUCUCCUCACACUACUCUGCGGUGGGACGGCUCCUCACAGACAAAAGACGCAAACCGGAACCCCAUGUAGUGAUAGGAACCCUAACCAUGGUUAGGGAUCCUCAAAAUAGGUUGUAGAUGAGGGCUCAAGCCGAUCAAGCUUCAUUCUGCGUUUCACCAGAGCAGAUGAACGGAAGAGUGUUCUAGGCGGAGGCCCAUGGUUCUAUAGACGAUCUAUUAUUUUCAUGGCAGCAUAUGACGGUCUGAGCGAUGCAGCUAAGAUCCGAUUGAUUCAUUCCCGAUCUAGAUCGAAAUACUUGGUUUACCUCCUGCCCUGAUGACUGAAGAAGCUGCAAGGUUGGUAUAGAGCCUCUUUAUGGCGGGUUAAACAGAUUGACAAGCUAGGGAUACGGUGAGGCGACAGAAUUUGAGUCCGCAUUCUCCAUAGGUUGUGUGAUCCAACCAAGCGACAAAAUUUGGUUAUGCCGUGUUUGCGGCAUGUUGGAGCACCCGACAGCCGGAUGCUGUGGCCCUCCAAUACUAACUCCUCAACAUAUCGAGAUCGAGUCCAUGACAACUCCGACAGAUUAUGGUGGCUCGAUUGGCUAGGGUUUUUCAAAACCCUAACCCUAACCCUGUGAAUAAGGAUUUAGGGGUUUUUUUAGCUUUGGGUCAUUUAGUAACCCUUUUGCGGUGGCACCCUCUCCUAGCCUCACCCUUUUGCCUUGAUAGAUACCAAGCUAAAUGCAUCGGCAAGGAUAUCGUCCUUCACUUGUUCUCUGCAUGGGAUUUCGGCAUCAAAGCUAGCUGCGCAAUUAGUACCGUUGAAAACAAUUGCCUUGCUACUGUUCUAGCAAUACCUAAAGUGGCUAAAGUGAUUCCGGCUAUUUCUGAUGUGAAACAAGGUCUGGAUAUGGGUCGGAGCCUCUUGGUAACCGAGAACGUGGGGUGAACCAAGUAUCGGAUGAGCAACUCGCUCUAGUGCCUUUCGAACUUGCAUUUGAACCAAAGAUGGCCAUGGCACAUGCAGGUGGUCUGAUCACUGUUUCCCUGCUAAGAAGCGGAAAGUUGGAAGACCUCUUGGUUCAAAGAACAAGAAGAGGGUUGAGAAUGUUCAUCCUUGGAAGCUGGCUAUGAAAUCUGGAGGUCCUUGUAAAGCUAAAAAAAAUUAGUUUUUGUGACCAUGUUUUGUUGAUCGAGGGGUUAGUCUUCUGGUAGACAAGUAAUUGAAGAGGUUGAUCCCUCUUCGGCUGAUGGUACUUUGGGGGAGACCCUCUCUCUGCAUAAGGUGGUUCCGGGUUCUGCUAGAUAAUAAGUAGGAUUCCUACAUGUCUUAGUUACUAGCCGGUUUUCAUUUUACGAUCUGUUUUGCAUGAUUUUAAUUCUAACUUAACCCACGAAGGCGGAUCAUGUUUAGAUUGUUUUCCUACUACGUACGAUCGAUACAUUUGGCGUAAUGUCCGUAUUUCAAAAGAAGAAAAAAAAUGAUUUAGACCAUCCUAGAAAGAAAGAUAGACAAUCUUAUGAAAGUAGAUCGGGCUUGACCAGCUGAACCGUACUUGGGCUAAAUAUUCUAGUAUUAUUGUACCCAAUAUCAAAGACCUACCGCUUAAUUACCUUAGUACGAUAAGGAUGUAUCAGCUAAACAAUCAAUAAAAUCACCAAGGUAUGUUUUCAGUAUGUUUUAGCAUUGCUAAUUAUUUUAUUAGCGUAUAGAUCACAUUUUUACUUGGCCAAAAUAAUAAGCGGUUCCACAAGAUAAUUAUGAUAAGAAGCAAAGAAGAAUUUGUUGUUAAGUUGAUUUUGAUAGUUCCCACAUCAGUCCUCAGGAGUCUGUUCCUUGGGAUUUUGAUACUGGUUAGGUUCCUCUGCCACACCUGACCUUUGUUCUCUUUAUAUACUGUGUUAUUUCGUAGAAGAAAAAAACACAAGAAGAUUUUUGUAUGUAAUAUUAAGGGAAUGCAAUUUUUCUCUUCCUUUUCUAUUUGACUGAUCUGUGCCUUUCUUGUGUCCCAAGCAGCGGUGCAUGGUUUCAUGCACAGAAGCCCUAGUUCUGCAGGCACAACCAUAUAAAUUACAGUAUCAUAUAUUGUAUGUUUAUGUGCCAAUCUAUAGUUCCAGAAACAAAGUAGUGGAUCUAUAUAUGGCCAUUGUUCAAAGCUCAUGAUCCCACUUCUUUUUUCUUAAAUUAAUACCCUAAUACUAACUUGUUCCUGAAAAAACAACAAAGAUCACGCACUUUCAUUAUCUUUUCCGAUUGAAAUAAAAUCAAAACCCUCGUUAUUUUUAUGGACAAAUGCUCUUCUCCUGCUUAUUUCUUCUUUUGGAGGGGGUUGCUGCAACUUGGAAAUCUACAUAAAGUAUCAACUUUUAAGUACAGAAAAUCAUUUAAUUUCUUAACACCAAUUUGUUAUCAUUAAUAUUUAACAAAGAUCUUUUAGGUGACUGAAAAUUAUAAAAGAAGAAAAGAGUAACAAAAGUCGAGUUCCUUUUCAUAUAUUACUAUUACACUUUCAGAACUUGGAAUACAUUAAAUCAAUGAACUGUACUCCCUUAACAAAGCUUUACAGACUUUUACCACUUUGAUUUUCAGCUUUUGGAUUGGCCAAAAAUACAUGCUUAUUUGUUCGCAUCCUCAUUGUGGCUUCCUAAUCAUCAAAUGUUAUAUGCAUAAUCUUGCAAAGAUGAAAGGUACAUAUGCAAGGAGAAGAAAAAUGGAGGAUCUAUCAAAAAAAAACUUUACGGGAGCUAGCUAGAAAUCCUUUUGUAUUUUAUGAUAUUAGUUAGGUAAUAUAUUGGAUAGCUUAUAGUGGGUCUUGAUCGAUCAACUGCUUUUAUAUAUAUGUAUGUAGUGUUAUGAAGUUCAAAUCUGACAACUUGAAUAUAUAAGAGCGCAGACACUCCCACUAACCAAGGGUUAUUAUUAGGCAGGAACAAAUUAAGUUCAUCAGGUUUUGUAAGUAUAUGGCGAAUGGGAUCUCAUGUGGUGGUAUAGAUUGUGGUAACAUAGUCAUCAACUAAAAUUGGACAAUAUUGGUAGGUCGUUACUUUUCCAUUCUUAUGGUUGCCUAAAACCUAUUUAUAUUAUUUUACUUUGAUAUUUUAAUACUAGCUAGCUUGAUGUUUCUUCAUCGAUCUCAAUUACCAGUUGCCACGGACGGACACUGUUCUCUAACCAAAUGCCACAGACUCUCACCCACCAAAGAUAUCCAGUUAUCCACUACGUACUCGAUCAGACGAUCAACGGAUCAAGACAACGUUAUUCGGGAAACCGAAGCUUUCAUUUUCCUGGCCAUGAAAUUAAAGAUGGAGUUACUUAUUGCCAGCUACAAGAGCUAUAUAAAACGAUCGAGUUGCAGUGACAGUCCAUUGUUUGUCCAGUUUGGAAAAAAUAACUUAUGUUAAUUAAACUUAAUGGUUUUUAUCAUAAGCAAGAAAUAUCGACCAACAAUCUAUAUAUAUGCCAAAUUGCCAAUUACCAAUGAUCCAGAAUGGAUAUAACAUAUUAUUUACGUUACGUACAUUGAUUAAUAGGUUAUCGAUCGAUCAGUUUAUGAUCUGAUCAAACAGCUCACAUAUGGUUUCAGUGAUCGAAACUGGUCAAUGCUUUAAGAACUGCAUGCUGCUCGAUCGUGAGAGAGAGAGAGAGAGAGAGAGAGAGAGAGAGCAAUGAUUAAGUGAAAAGACUGAAAACCGUAUAUGAUGAUACUAUCGAUUACUGUCAAAUCCUGACCUGCAAAUAAGUUGGUGGAAGUAUGAUUCAUAUAGCAAGCUAUAAUUAUCCGAAAAUUCGAUCCUUCGAGAUAUGUAUAUGCAUCGACGAAAUGCUUGUCUAAAUAGCUACCAAAUGAAGGAACAGUACGUUUAAAUUGAAUUGCUAGAUAUAACCAUGAACCAUGCAUGUGUAGUAGCAUAGAAAGAAAAAGAAAAAAAAAAAAGGAAAUAGAGCAGAAGAUCAGUCUCAAACUUUCACCACGAUGAACAGAAACAAGUCCUUUUCAUAUAAGCUUAUACACCAUUUGAAAUUAUUGGUGCCCUUCGUAUUUUUCAUUUCAGAAUAGUAGCUGCCACAGAAGCCAAAAAUCCACCAGUAGCUGUCGCACAAAAUAAAAGCCAAAUAUUAAGGAAACAGCAGAGCUCGACAUGUUUCGGCCUCUCCUUUGUGGGAUAACCUAACUGAAAUGAUUGCUCAUGAAUUGGCUAAUAAUUCUUCAACCCCCUCCACCUUCAUAUGGUUAAAGACAGGUCUGUGUCUACCACUAAACACACUAUAUAUCACCUAUUACAUCACAAACAUCUCAUUCGGUUCUAAAGUGCUCAAAUAUAGCAGAUUGGAGAAAUUUUCCUCUCAGAAACAAAUACAGCUAUGAAAUAGACUAAAUUGUACAAAGAGAACAAGAAAGCAGAAAGUAAAGAAGAGCAAUAAUAUGUAAAGACAAUCCCAAAUAAGUUUAGCAAUAGCAAAAGCAUACAUCACCAUCAUAUUAUUAGAAUAGAAGAAAAAUCCUGCUAAGCAAUCACCUAGCUGUAUCAUUCAAGCUAGACCAUGGCCAUGUUAAUUAAAUUAAAGAUGAAAAUGUAGAGGUGCUGGUGGCGGCGGGUCAAGAUAGGGUUUAUGCGAAUCUUCAAUCAAUCAGAAUACGUAUUAUUUGAUUCUGAGAGGUCUAUACAGAUAGCCAACAUGCAUGUCUACUUCCAUUUAUGGUUUGAAGCUGUAUCCAAAUAACCAGAUCUCCUUGACGAUCUAGUCGAUCUAAGCAUGCGCAAAUAGUUAACAAAGUUUCCCAACUUCAGCUUCCCACGUACACAGUUAGAAAGUUUUGUUUUUAUCUUGUAAAGUAUCUGUUUUUCAAAAUUGUUUAGAGACUGAGAUUUACAUUUCUAACUACAAUACACCUACAUUUCAUUGUUGUUUUUUAGUAAUUAUAAUUUUGUGAUCGGUAACUUAAAUCUUGUCUUUCUAUAAAGUUUUUAACUAAAAAUAAAAGAAUGAACGGGUCAAAAAUAAGAGAGUGUGGAUUAUAUUCUCCUCGACUUUUUGUUUAUCAAAAUUUUUUCAUGUGUAAAGCUUUUAAUAUACGUAUUAUGUUAUAGUUUGGUGUCCGGACCAUUAUGCAUAUUGUGAUCUAGAUUAAUGUUAUUGGUAAAUUUAGCAAACGUUAUUGUUUCUAAUUGAAAGAAAAUGAUACUCCAUAAUCAUAAAUUACUCUGAUAGAUAUAUCGUGCACCAUAUAUAGUCAAUAGAAACCAACGAUUGGAGGAAAAUUAAUGUUAAGCUAGUGACUACCAGUAUCAAUAUUAUGAACUUGGAUACAAUUGGGAUAGGAAGCACACUGAGUAAUGUCAAGUAUUGCUCAAUCCUAUUCGGCUAAAUGUUGCUCAACUAGGAGAUAUUGUGAUCCAUACUAUUGCAUGGCUACAUGUAUGAUCAAAUUAGCGAUCAUGUGAUACGGUAAGACAAGUUUUAGUGAGCAUUCUCCGAUCCCAUGGCCAUCUCAUCAUCCGGAGAUCGAAUUAAGUUCUUAAAAUUCUGUACCGCCAACUAAAACUUUAGAAUAUGAUAAUAUUAGUAAGGGGUCAAGUUAGAUAACUCUCAUUACGUAUGUGUGAUUGUAAUGCUACUUGUCGAAAACAAGAUAGGAUUUUUAGGUUAAGCUUCUUAGUGGCAAACCAAAGGUCGUCCUAAUUUUACCCAGGUCAUGAUCUUAAUGAUUAACUACUUUAUGAUCUCAUCGAUGUUACAGCAGCAGAUAAGACAAGACAUGCAAGAAACAAGAAAUCCGAUCAAUUCUCGGUGGCCUCUUGUCGAAAUAGAGUUUACAUUACAUGGCUGAUAUUCAAGUUGAUUGAUAAGCGAAUUCGAGGAUUGAGACUUUACAAGACUACUGCACCUAUAAAACUUGACCGUCGGUAGUGGUGAAAACAGGAAGACGAUCGAGCAUGCAUGUAUAUAUUGACUAUGGAUUGGAAAAAUCCAUGGAAGCCAGAAGAAAGUUCUCCUUCUCUGCUGGUGGCCUGGGGCACACCGCAGCUGCGGCCAAUGAUCUUCAACCAGUGUGCUUGUAAACCAGGGCUAGCUGAUGUUAAUGUUGAUGUUGAUGUCAAAUUGUCAAUGGUACCUGAUGAUCUGACGUUUCAACAGUCAGUGAGCUUAUAUAUCAGAGAAGCUCGAGCUGUUGCAAGGUCAAAUGUUCCAAAACUUUCAACGUCCAGCAUUGUAUAUCGUGAAGUGAAAAACUGAGAUAUGUUUAAAUGAACAAUGAACGUGAACUCGGUGUAAUGACGUUAAAUUUUUGGAGAACUUGAUCUCAUAAACCUGCUAGCAUUGUCCAUUCUCAGAUCAUAACUCAGACCAUUAGUUAAUGGAAAAACUUGCGUCUGGACUCUCCUAUCACUAUUACACAUAUACACAUUAAUGUCUUUUAUGGCGUUUUUAAAUGCCAUUCCCAAACGCUAUAUAAAGUGAUGCCGUUCUAUUUGGCAAACGCCAUUAAAAAGUAUUCCAUGACGUUUCAAAGGUAUUAACCCAUUAGGUAUGAAUAAGUGAAUCCAAACUGGUUCGGACCCGAAGUUUUUUAAUGGUUGAAAUUGUCAUCAAUGCAUGUGUUAUGUGUAUCAAACUACGAUAAUGAAAAUGUAUGAAUUUGGUAUGUCACAUACAGUAUAUAAUAACACACGAGUUAGUCAAUCAGUUAUCACUCACAGAGUUAUUCAAUCGCACAUCACUUUGUAAGAGUAGCUAGUAAUAUUUUCUAAUAGUGUUGACGGCAUCAUUAAGAGUUCGACAAAAAUCUGUUAUUUUGCAAGAUUUUCCCUCAUGACAAGAAAACAUUAGUCUUGUAACAUCAUAUUGGACAUUCGAUUGAUUGGGCAACGAUGCUGAUGUUUUCUUAAGCAAACUGCAAAGUGGGAUAUGACUCGCGAAAGCAGACUAUACAUAUACUAAGCCACAAGAAAUGCAGCAUAUGGCUACAAAUGAUAAGCCAACCUCUCAAUUCUAUAUUACAAUAUGCUACUUUUGUAAUGAUAUGCAUGCGUAAGAGAAUCCCAAAAUGUAAUACAGGAUCUUAUAUAUAUGAUUAAUUUGGGGCUACUGUAUUUGAUAAGUUAGUGCAUAGACAGAAUACGAGCCACUGCGUUUCAACUCAAAGUUAGGUAUUAUGUCAUCCCUAAUAUUCUUGUUUAUAUAACACGAAAUUAACCAAUUGAUGAUCGUGUGUGGUUACUUUUGAUAUAUAUACAGCUUCUAGUUUCACCUACUAACUUUGCUUCCAUUGCUCAACGCACGCAUGAACGAUGGAAAUGGAUUUAGCAAAGCUGGUUUAGCACUGCAGAUACCAAAAAUGGUUAAACUGGCGAAAUGACACGCAAAAUAUAUAAGAGAACAAAUUGAUAAUGCUAUACGGUUCAGAUCUUGUCAUUACGUUCAUCCGCACAGAUUGUGUGAAUUACUGGCCCUAGCUAGCUCCCUUUAGCUUAUUGAGUUGUUGUUUGUCUCUUUGAUUCGUAGUAGAAACUUGAGGUCAAUUAUACGUCACGUUUAUUGGUUGUCUUCCCCUUAAUAAGCUUUAUAAGCUUUAGUUUCUUGUCCCCAUCUAUAUCUUCAUUUAUGCAUCAAAUAAAAUGAAAUAUUAAAAAGAUAAUGCAUUGCAUAAAGUGAGAGUCGUAAACAAUCACAAGAUAUCUCAAAAGAUUAAUUUAACAAUAAUAACAAACUAAUUAAACCUCAUCAUUUAUCUAAUUACUUGAACUAGCUAGAACACUUCCAAAUGAAGGUUAAUCUUUGAUUUAGGUCCUCUCAUCCAAUCCUUUCAAGGACUGACAUCUUCACUUUGACUUCUUGGGAAUUUGCUUUGCUAAAUGAGUUAUUAUUUUCAUGUGUCUACCCCUUGUACAUUUUAGCUCUCUUUGUUUGUUUCUUUAAUAAUUUUAAUCUUAGGUAGAAAAAUCACUCGACAUCUAAAAACUUAGAUUACCAAAUCAGUUAGGGGUGUAAAUUUGACAAACCUAAUUUGAUGAAGUACGUGGAAAUAAAAAGAAAUAUAAUAAUUUAAUUCAUAGACUUCGCUGCGCGCAUACUAUACAAAUUGAGGUGACCAAAAACAUAGGGACGAAGCUCAAUUAAAGCACAUCAGCGCUAAGCCAAAUUGCGCAUGCAUAUCGAUCAAACUCUGUCCUCAUAGUAGAUUAUCCUUGCUCGGUGUCGGAUUACUGGAAGCACUUCCAUCAACUGACUCUAAGCUGAUGUGGCGCAACCACGUGAUCAUAUAGUGAUUGAGUAUAUGUUAUAGGGAGAUAUAUGUUCUAAUGUUGGUCUUUUUCGCACAUCAUGUGCUACAUAAGAUGGGAUUCAGAUGAUACCCGAAAAUGUGAAUCGCAUAGCAUUACAUUCUCUUCAAUUAAAUAUCUCAAUCUUUUAUGACUAUCUUCUAAAACCAACAUAGAGUCCUUUUAGCACUUGGUUGUUGCUCUGGUUACACAAAUGAAUGGUCUCAAACUUUCACGAGAAAUUUUGUGAUGUAUAGUUUGUAAAUCUGAAAAUUAUUUUCUACUCAAUGAGAUACUGACAUUUACUGUAUUUUUUUUUCUUUUUUAGAUAGAUAUUGACAGUGGUAUCUAGCUAGGUACUACCGCCAAUAUUUAUAGGGACAUGUGGACAUCCAUAUAUACAGUCUUUCUCAGGUAAGGAUGUCCUUAUUUAUUCUUAUGGUGCGGAUUUCCACUUUAAACUCACUUUUCAAUCGAUUUUUCACAUCUCCACUGUAUAGUCUUUAGGUACAAAAUUUCAGCCAAUUUGGUUAUCAUUAAGGCACUCAAAACUGCGUAUUUCUGUAAUAAACAUGAACGGUUCAAGUUCGACAUAAUUAUGUUCAUCCAUUGGUUUAAUCGAAUUUGAGUGCCUUAAUGAUAACCAAAUUGGCUGAAAUUCUAUACAUUAGUAUCUGAAGACUAGACGGUAGAGAUGUGAAAAUUUGAUUGAAAAGUGAGUCUAAAGUGGAAAUCCGCACUCUAAGAAUAAAUAAGGACAUCCUUAGCCAAGAAAGUCUGUCCAUAUAUAUAUAUAGAAGUAAAGAGGUGCAAAUACAUAAAAUUACAUCAUUAUUAGAAAAAAAAAAUAGAAAAUCUUAAUUGAGAUACGGUUUUAACAAAGUCCUGAAAUGCUAUUUUUAUCUGAGGUGCGUGGAUAUAUUAUUGCAUCAUUGUUUCACAGGAACUGAGAAAGCAAACCUAUAAUUCGCAAUAAUUAAGGUCAUCCCUCACGUACUGUUGGGAGAUCCUUAUUCCUAUUCUAUGAAAGUUGUCUCCUCAUCAACUAACUAAUUAUAAGAAUAUUGUUGUCGAUUGGAGUAUCUGCAUUAUUAGCCCUUUCAGUGAUUCUGCAUUUCUUGCUUUUGUACGUACGUAGCUUAUCACGAAAUUGUUCGACAUCUGUCGACGGAAAUUCUUGUGCUUAAUUUGCAGGUUUUUUGGGUUGUUAACCAUCAGUUAAUCCCUAUUAGCUAGGAAUACUUAUUUGGCUUCAUAUGGUUUGCUUUUUGCACGAUGUGCAUGUCUUGUUCAACGAUGUCUGCGAUUUCUAGCUAACAGUUUCACGGUCUAGCUUUGGUUUAUUCCUUCCCUCUGCAUUCUUAUUCACCAAUGUUGAUGGCUCAUGGUUGCGUAAGGGCAUGGAUAGCGUUGUAAUUCUCUUUAUCAUCAAUAAUGAAUUUUGUCAUUGUUUUCAUCAAAGAAGAUUACAGGCACAUAUAUGAGAAUAUCUAUAAAACGACUUUGUACGUUAAAUAUCUACCGACAAAACAAUGUCAUAUUUUACUUGUUCUUCAUUCACCACACUAACUUAACUAGCAUAACUGUAAUUUGGAAAUAGCGUGUAUGUACGUAUCACUUUGGAUUACAUCUCGAUACAACCGCCUUAUUAACAUUUGGAUUAUUACAAUAACUGAGUUUGAAGAAGUUGUCGUGUUGCUGUCUGUUAACUGCACGUUUGAGCGGUUUUUGAUUGUGGAGUGAGUAUGUGAAUAAUUAUACUGUCGUUGUAAAUCAUUCACACAUACUUAAAUUAGUAAGCAUUUUAAGUACAUAAUCAAAGCAAAAGAUUGAAUAAUGAGAAAUCUAGCUACAUAUAUUCAUCAUUUUCUUAUCAUCAUUGUCAAAACAAAGCAAAUAGUUCUCAAAGGAUGCAAAACAUACAGCUCUACAAUAAGUUGUCUGUUGAGUUGUUUCCAACGAGCAUAGAAAUAGAAGUAAUAAUGGCCAUGAAGCGCUACUAUUCUUGAAGAAAUUUGUAUGACUUGUAGAGGAGCAAGUACACAAGAAUUUAAGCAUCUACGUACCCUCUUAAGAACCCAAUGUGAUAAAAAAAGAAACAGGUGUAAUUCUGUUUAUUUAACAGUCAUCCUAAAUCACUCGUUUAUUAUAUAGAAUAUUUGUGGACAAAGUGCAUUUUGAAUUAAUACCCUAGCUGCUAAUAGAAACUGUAAAAGGCAUAUUAUCUUGGGUGUAAGAGAAUGUCUUAGCAACUUGAAGCAUAAAGUACUCAGAAAAAUGUGCAUUAUUUAUGCAAUAAUUCAAAAACACCACCAAUUCCUCUCAAGAAGAAUGUGAACUCUUCAUUCCUUAACUGUGAUUAGUGAAAUGUGCAUAUGAUUAAGGAAUCUUAUCCCUCAUAAUAAUUGAGCAGCAAAUCUAAGUCAUAUAUUGUACGUCUAAGUCACAAGAACUAAGAAAAACCAAGUGUAUGUAAGUGAUCUUAUCCUCUUUUUAAACGAUCCCCAGCUAAGUGACAAGCUAAAUUCAUUUUGCAUUAUUAAAGAACACUCGGAUUUGUUCCAACUGAAUAUAAAGGGAUAAAAUAGGAUAAUGUCCAUAUGUGCAAUGAGGAAACUGUAACGUAUGAACUUAAUCACUUAUAAAAAGAAAAAAAAAACGAAAGUAAUUAUAAUAAAAUGUCCAAAUUUUCCAGAAAAAAAUGCCGACAAUCAGCAUCAAAUUGGGAAUAUCCUAAAAACAAGGAAUCAAAUUUUUUUCAAGGAGUCUAGCUAUCAAAAUUAUCCUAGAAAUUCAAGUGAAAACUAAACAAAAUACUUAGGCUACAUUUCCAGAGCAUUUCUUCCAUUUUCGAUUUUCAAAAGUGUUAUAUGUUUCAUCGAAAAAAACAAAGUGGGGAAGAAUACAAUGGAGAACCUCUCUCCAUUUUCUCUUUUGCUAUCUAGUCCAAACUCCAAACAGAUUGCACCUAAACUAGAAUGAAAACAUGAAAAUGAAAACAAAAGGGAUUAUUAGGUCAUGUGGUGUCCCCACUUUCAUCUGUGAGAUCUGGGCCGUAAAAUGCCCCCUCCUUUCCUUUAUAUAAUACUACCUCCCCUCUCUUUCUUUGCUCAAGUAGUUCUGAAUAUUGUCUCUUCCUUCCUUCUGGCUAGCACUCACAACCUUUCUUUUAGCUCUAUCAAUAAUCCAAAAGCUUCUCUCAAUCUGAACAGCUUCAAUGGCCUGUUUAGAGGUCUGCAACGAGGUAGUUUAGCAUACCCUUUCAAUGUCCUUGCUUCUUUCAUUCAUCUUUUUGAUCGAGCUCCUAUUUUUAUUCAUCUCUGUUUCAUUUAAUCAUGUCCACCUUCUUGGCAUGAUUUCUUAUUUUACCGCAUGCAUUCUUGAGUAAUGGCAACACUUGAUUGUGUGAUCAUAUAUGGAAGCAAAAAAAUCAGCUUAGUUUAUUGAUUUCAUCUCUCUUGUAUGAAAAAAAAAAAAAUCAGGUAAAGUUCAAAGAAGAUGAAGAGGGAACCACCAACACUCUUGAUGGAAGUGUAGACAUGCAUGGCCGGCCAGCAAUCAGAGCAAAAUCGGGAAGAUGGGUCGCCGGAAUCAUCAUUCUUGGUAAGCACCGUUUUCUCAUAUCAGUCCUCCAGAAACCCAAGAAACAAAGACAAAGAAAACUCACAUGUCUUGGUUUUCUUGGUUUCUUCAGUUGUGCUUGUGCUUAUAUGACAAAAUCACUAACCUCAUUUCAAACAUCAACCUCAUCAAAUUGUUUCUUUCAAAGUCCCCUCCUUUUAUUAACCAGUACUGAAGACAAGAUACUCUUCUAGGUCUUGUUCUGCGGGCUAGAACAUUUAACAACCUUUUGAAAAAGAGCAAAACUGGGAUGAAAUGAAAGCCUGUGUAUUAGAUAAGCAGUUUGAUUUUUCUUUGAUAAGCUAGAAGCAGAUAUAAGUGAUACACUUGGGACACUGCAACCCAGAACCAAGUGUUGCAUGCUGGGUGUCUCUACAGCCAGCUAAACUCCACUACAAAAAUACAUGCCCCAAUUUAAGGUGCCAGACUGCCAGUUCACCGCCCACAAGAACCAUGUUUUUCUGUUUUAGAGAGAGAAACUGAGAGAGAGAGAGAGAGAGAGAGAGACUGGGAAGUAGACGACAUCCAUGACGAAAGAGUAGUAGAGACAGAGAGAGGGAGCGUGAAAGUGAGGAAAGCAUGCAUUCAGAGUAAUACGUCUCAGACACGUAAUCGGUGUCUGAUUUUGCAUGACGUAUGUUUUUGUCACGUGUCCUUUCUUCCAAUCUUACGUUAAAGGGUUACGAAAAAAAAAAAAACUUACAUGUUUUCUGCAAAAACAAAAAAAAGGGUCUAUUUUUCUCAUUAGAACAAAGAACCCAGAAAAUCAUAGACAUAAUCACAUACAAGAAGCUUUUGAGAUGCAUGAGUAAUGUGUUCAUUGUUGCUGGAGAUUAUAAUUGGGUUUUUGGUUUAUGGUCAUAUAUCCUAGUUUCCACUAAAGUUUGGAAGAAAAGAAUGCCUAAUCUAAAUUAAGCAUGACUGUAAAUAUCCAAAUAUAACUGCAUCACACCUUAAAGCUUUUCUGCUUUGGCACGUCCCAUCGAGUUCAGGUCACUUUGGUGUCUUAAACCCAUUUUAUUCGACUUGUAAACAACAACAACUAAAAGAAAGCCUUAUCUAUUUUUCAAUAGUAGUUUCUAUUAAGACUCUUGUAAAUGAACCUAAUUGAUGUGCAUGCUAUACAGCUAGAGAAGGAACUGUAUAUGUGUGCAUCUGAGUUAGAUUUCAGCUGUAGAUGAUUGUAACAAUCUGAUGCAUAUGUUGGAGACGGACCAAAUUAUGGGACAUCUUGAACAUGGUUGAUUAUGAAUGCUAAUCACAUGUGGUUUUCGAUUAUGUUCUCAAAAUGUUUUCCGAAACUUCUCUUCCAAUCUUCAUAAUAUUUGUUACCCUUGGAAUCGAAGCGUUUGAUUUCAAUGCCAAGCAACUCAGAAAUUGAUUUCUUUGGUCAUCUAUAGCAUGGAACAACUUCUUAGCUUAAUUUGGCUUCUGAAUUGCCCUUCUAACUUCAGUUCAGAAAGAUGUCAGAGGAAAAAAAUAAGACUUCAAUCCGUUAGAAGUUAGAACUUAGAACUUAGAAGCACAAUUGUUGCAUGAAACUUUAUUACAUGUAUCCCUGGGUCUUUGAAUUUAGAUUAGCUUCAAAAUAUUUUUACAAACUCGUUCUUCUUCGCACAGCUUUAAACUACGCCUCAAAUAUUCCAAUCUAGUUAAAUCUUUCAGUAUCAAUAGUUCUCUAAAGUUGAAAUCACAUUUUUUGAACCUUCUGACCCUUUCGUUAUUCUGUUGUUCCACUGAAAACCAGUGAACCAAGGUCUGGCAACCCUAGCAUUCUUCGGAGUUGGGGUGAACCUGGUUCUUUUCUUGACCAGGGUGCUGCAACAAAACAAUGCAACAGCAGCUAACAGUGUGAGCAAGUGGACCGGAACUGUCUACAUCUUCUCCUUAGUUGGUGCCUUCCUCAGUGAUUCUUACUGGGGACGCUAUAAGACUUGUGCCAUCUUUCAGAUCAUAUUUGUCAUAGUAAGUGUCAUUCGCUUCCAAUACUUAUUGAGAUUCACACAAUGAGCUAAGCACUUUUUCAUUUUGCUUCCAUUAUGUUCCAAGACGAAUUGAGAAUGAGUAGUACUACUCUUUCCAAUGCUUUGUUUGUAACACAUUUAACUUGCAGGGACUGGCUUCAUUGUCGCUAUCAUCGCAACUCUUCUUACUGAGGCCCAAAGGUUGUGGGAGCCAAGAAAAUCCAUGCGGAACUCAUCAAGGCUACCAAAUUGCAUUAUUCUACCUUUCCAUCUACCUCAUUGCCCUAGGAAAUGGAGGGUACCAACCAAACAUUGCAACAUUUGGAGCUGAUCAAUUUGAUGAAGAGGACCACAGGGAAGGACACUCAAAGGUGGCAUUUUUCAGCUACUUCUACCUGGCAAUGAACCUAGGCUCCCUUUUCUCCAACACCAUAUUAGGGUACUUCGAGGAUGAAGGAAUUUGGGCACUUGGGUUCUGGGCGUCCACUGCGUCUGCGUUUGCAGCACUGGUCUUGUUUCUUAUAGGGACUCCUAGGUACAGGCACUUCAAGCCAAAUGGGAAUCCUCUUGCAAGGUUUUGCCAAGUCUUGGUUGCUGCUGUAAAGAAAGGCAAGGUAAAUAUGCCAUCAGGUGGAGAGGAAUUAUAUACAGAGGAAAAAAAGGAGUCCUCCAACCGAAAGAUCCUCUACACCCAUGGGUUCAAGUAAGAGCAUAUAGAAACUCUGUGUUCUUGAUACUUGGCUGAUUCCAAUAUAUAUCUUAUCAUUGUUAUGACCAUAGAAGCAUAGAGCUAACUUCCUUUGAAUACAGGUUCCUGGACAGGGCAGCAUAUAUCUCAUCAAGGGAUUUAGACAACCAGAAACAGGGUCUUCAAGACCCAUGGCGUCUCUGCCCUAUUACCCAAGUGGAAGAAGUUAAAUGCAUUCUAAGGUUACUCCCAAUUUGGCUGUGCACCAUUCUCUACUCGGUGGUUUUCACACAAAUGGCUUCUCUGUUUGUAGAGCAGGGAGCUGCUAUGAAAACCACUGUUUCAAACUUCCGCAUUCCGCCAGCAAGCAUGUCUAGCUUCGAUAUCCUCAGUGUGGCAGUUUUCAUUUUCUUUUACCGCCGCAUUCUUGACCCACUAGUGAGCAGAAUAAAAAAAUCUGAUUCCAAAGGACUUACUCAGCUUCAGAGAAUGGGAAUUGGCCUUGUUAUAGCAAUCUUAGCAAUGGUUUCAGCUGGAAUUGUGGAGUGCUACAGACUCAAGUAUGCGAAGAAAGAAUGCACCCAUUGCGAUGGCUCAAGCACCCUAAGCAUCUUCUGGCAAAUACCGCAGUAUGCAUUCAUCGGCGCUUCUGAAGUUUUCAUGUAUGUAGGUCAGUUGGAGUUCUUCAAUGCACAAGCACCAGAUGGACUGAAGAGCUUCGGAAGUGCCCUGUGCAUGACAUCCAUUUCUCUCGGUAACUAUGUUAGCAGCUUGCUCGUGAGUAUGGUCAUGAAGAUAUCAACUGAAGAUCACAUGCCCGGAUGGAUCCCUGGAAACCUCAACAAAGGCCACCUAGAUAGGUUUUACUUCCUCUUAGCUGCCUUGACAUCAAUAGAUUUGAUUGUCUACAUUGCAUGCGCCAAGUGGUACAAGUGUAUCAAGUUGGAGGGAAGAUUUGAAGAAAAUGAAGAGCAAGAGAACUUCAAAGUCUGAUGGAAACAUCAAGGAGGCAUGUUAAGACCUAUGCUAGCAACCUAUAUUAAAUAAGACGAAUGAGGUCCUAAACAACGGGGUAAAAGGAACUGUUUUCUCACCAACUCUCUUGCACCCGUUUUUCUCUGUAUCUUUAGCAGCAACACUGUACUUUUUAUGUCCAGGCUUGUUCUAGUAGAGGUGGGUAGCUUUUGGUUUAGGUCUUAGGAUCUUCCCUCAUUCUCAUUUGUUUGUUUUAUUGCUAGCUAUAGACUUAACAUGCGCUUCUAGAGAAAUCUAUUGUACUGAUGGGAACUCUUUGAAGCUGUAGUAAUAUGUAAGAGAACUGCUCUGACUUUUAAUGGAAGCACCUCUUCCCUCAGACUUGCUUCUAUAUUUCCUUGUAAGAGUCUAGUGAAACAAUGUUAGCAAAGGGUUUUGGCAACCAUAGGUUUCAACAAGGCUUCUUCCCAGGGAAACUAGGACUUUGUGACCAUAUUCUGCUUUCUAGGAUGGAUUCUGGUUUGCUGAUAGCCAACAAUGGAAAGAAACUUGACGAUAUAUCAUUUCCUCAUUCCUCCUUUGGCAACAUAAUAAAUACUAUGAGGAUGAUGAUGUCUAUCUAAAGAAGGAUGAAGGCUCUGUUUAGGAACUAGCAGUAAGUAACCUAAAUAACUACCUCAAAGGAAAACAAUAAUUUUUUCCGAUUUAAGCAAAAGCCAAGUGGCCGAAGCAGUUGAAUCUAUAAUCACAUAUACUUUUGACAGUAUGGCUGAUAACUGUCCUAUGCAAAGUGUAUUGGCCAUGUAAACUGUAAAGAAAAGGACCAAAAUCAGAAAACAGCAUUCACAAAGAGAAGUUACAACUCUGUAUGGCAUAGAUUUAAAGAAUACGAUCCAUGCAGAUGAUUCUUUAAGAAAAUUGAUUUGAGCUGAUAAACAGUAUCAAUAAAAGCAAACAAAUAAAUUAAAGAAAACAAAUUCACAGUACACUCUGCAACAUCUAAAAUUGGUAUGACAUGAUUUCUUUAUGUAUUAGAUAUAAAUCAACUUGAUCUACUUUUGCAUUCAAAAUUGGGGCUAUAUUCAUUAGAUUUCAGCAAGUUCAACACAAAUGUAAAUUCGACUAUCAACAACCAAAACAAACCUAAAAAUAAAUUCUCAUUGGUUCGAAAUACUUUCCACCUUACGAACUUGGAUAUGAUGAGAAGAUUCUUUACGCCAGAUUGGUUGUGCGCCACUUUGGACAAGAGUAACAUGCUCUCCCUCUUUCAAAUGUCCCUUAGCCUAUGCAUCAAAUUUAUUGAAACAGUUUUACCACAAACGAAGAAUAAGAUAAAGGAAGAAACAGAUUAAGAAAUCAGUGAUCACUAACCACUAAUAGCUGUAUUGCUCUUGAGUAAGUCUCCUCUGAAUCAUUUGAGAAUUGCAUAUAUAUUGGGAGGACACCUUGAUAAAGCACCAAUCUCUGCUUAAUCCUUUCUCUACAAAGCAUAGAAAAUGUCAUGAGUUUAGAACAGAUAACAAAAAAAACAAGUUUAACUUGUACACUUCCAUAACCCCUCGGACAGAAAGACAACAGUGAUUGCAUUUGCAACUGGCAUAUGAAGCUAAAACAUUGUGGAAUAAUUUCAAGAGUAAAAACCUAAAAUAGUACCUGAACUAUUGUGAAAGGUACUUUUUGGUACCUACGAAUUUUUUUAAUUGAAAUGGUACCUCAAGUAUUGCUCCAUUACCAUAUCAGGUAAUGAAGUAACACUUGAGGUACCAUUUUGUUAGGUUUCCAGCCCAUGUGUUUUUCGUAAGAUGUUUCGUCUUAGAGUAUGGUGUUCCAAUAAGGAAAGUAAAUCCUUAUUGAUGAUGGUGUACCUGUAAUCUUGAUAGGAAUAGGAUUCCUAUUUGGUGAAGAGAUCUGAAGAUCCUUAUGGCUAUAUAAGGAGGGGGUCAGCUCUAGGUUUUGAAUCGCAGAGACGAAGACCAAAGUGUGUUCCAUUCUCGGUUAGAGGGUGAGAGAGGGCAGAGAGGAGAGAGAUAGGAAGAGAAGUGAGAGAGUCCUUGUUUUCUUAUUCUUUAUGGUGUACCCAUUAUUAAUAUAGUGGAAAUGUUUUCUGCCGGUGGAUGUAGGCAAAGGUUUUGCUGAACCACCUUAAAUCUGUGUUCUUUGUGUCUUGUCUCUGUGGUUGUUUCUCUUGGUUUGCUGUGUUCUUUUGGGGUUCCUUGACAUACAUAAUUGGCCGAUAUCACAACACAUUUCAAGUAAAAAAAAAUCGUAGGUACCAAAAUAUACCUUUCGCAAUAGUCCAGGUACCAUUUUAGGUUUUUACCCUAAUUUCAAUGCCGCAGAAAACCUUAAAAUUCCAUUAAGGGUCAGAAUGGAGCUAAACAUAAUUUAAAUUUAAAUUUAGUUUUACAGCAAUAUGACUCACGAAAAUGUUCAGACUUCAGAGUAAAAAUAGAAGAGAACAGUAAAUAUCCAGUAUAGGGGUUAACACAAUAUUAGUCUCAAAUGUGAUGAACUUUUAGCUUUAAACACCAAAAAACACAGUUUAGGAGAAGGUUAGUUGUGUGAGAAGUAUUCCGUGGAGGCAGAGAGAGGGGUUGUGUUGGUAGUAUUUCAGUGUGGAUGACAAAGAAUAUGAGGAUCUUUGAGGGAGUAAGGGGAGACGAAGCAGAUCAGUUAUUAGCAUCCACUUGGGCACCAGUGUCUUUUCAGUUUUGAAUUAUUCCUUCUGGGCUCUUUAGCAUGAUUGAAAUGCUGUUGUGCUUUAGAAGACUGUGAUGUACUCUUUUAAAUGUGACAUCUUGACACAACUCCAGUUAUUAAUUUUAGUGGUACCUACACUAUCCAUAAGACUCAUUAUCUCGUGUCCAUUUCUUAUAAGCAAAUAUAAAUGGAAUUGUGCACAAAAAACAAAAGAUAGAAUACAGCCCACCGUCCUUGACAUAAUUAUGAUAAGCGAAGAGCUAUACCACAGAAGACUGAUUUUUUUUUUUUUUUAUCUACAGCAGCUAUGUAACAGGAGUGACAUGAUAUUUCUUUUCAUCCAAAUCUAAACAAUUUGUGGGCACAGAAAGGGAAGUACUAUUUAAAGCUCACAUUUUUUCCAGGCCAUACAUAUGUCAUAUGCGUAUACUGCUGCACUAUAAAACUAAAGACCAUUGUGUGGACCUAAAAAUAUAUCAAAAUAUAUAUGCACCAUUUUCAGACAUAAUGCAUAUAUUAGGAUAUCGGACUUACUCAUUUGUGAAGGCAAAGAUAGUGGAGCAUGGCCUAUAAUGGCUUAAGAGUACAGCCAUGGAUCCUGUCCUUGUAAAAACAAUGAUGGGUGUAUUGAGACUGUUGGCCAUAAUUGUAGAGUGGAAAGCAAACAUUUCCCCCAUAUGUCUCUGUAAAAAACGUCCACAUUUAAGAUUCAACGAGCAGGAGCCUCAGGCCAAAGACAACAUAUAGUUAAAAAACCAAAAGGAAGAGAACAAAAAAAAAAGCAAAAUCCAUGAAAAAAAAAAAACAUAAAAUCCUAUGUAUGACCACUGCAUACCUUGUAGGCACUUAAUUGGAUCGGAGGAAUAGUGCUAAUUGGUAGACUUGACUCAGUCCUCAAUGCCACAGUAUGCAUUACUUUAACAGCUUUGAGUGGAUAUCUAGACAUGAACUUACAGAAGUAAUAAAUAUAUGGAAGCACAUAUUGCCUGCUAUAAAAAUUUAAGCUGGUUCAACAAGAGAUGAUAUACAUGCUUCAGCCACAAACAAGGGAAAGCCAAAAGAAACAGAAGAACCAAGAUUUUCAAUUAUCCAUACUAUUAGGCAAGUCAACAGCCAACAACAAAAGAUGAACCUAUAAUAAUAUUAGUCUAGAUUUUUUCAGACUCGCCCUCUCUAAAAACAAUUAUCAUUUGAUCACAUGGUAGACAACCUCAGAUUUCACCUAUAAUAAUUAAUGUCAGAUGUUAGGGAAUGCUAUACUUAUAUAGUGACACCCUCCAGUGGCAAGAGAAUAAACCACAACAGACUGACACACGACAUUACCAAUUAGAACCAGGAAAAGUUUACAAAUUGAGAACAUGGAAGUGAUAACAUGAAACUAUUGUUCAAACAGAUCUACCGAAAAAUCGAAUAUAGCCCUUGAACAAUGUGGAAAAACAAUUACAUAAAGUGAUAAAACCACAAGGAUGAAGAGAUAUUUCCAGUGUACCCAAAAUAGCCCACAAAAUAUGUGGAGAAACAAAUAAAUAAAAACAAAUAGAUUAUUCCCACAUUACAGUGGUCCAAUGGUUAGAGACAAUAGAAUCAAUUUUCUAUCAGAACAGUAGCUGGGAGUCACAAAAGCAUCUAAUGAAUACUAGUGUACUUACUUUCCAUGGGCAGUUUCUCCAGAAAGCAUGAUGGCAUCGGCACCUUCUCUCACUGCAAUUGCAAUGUCAGAAACUUCUGCCCUGGUUGGUGUAGGAUGAUCGAUCAUGCUCUCCAACAUAUUAGUUGCUACAAUAACUGGUUUCUGCAUAGUGUGACACCUUCUAAUGAUGUCUUCCUGUUAAGAUAACAUAGGGUUCAGUUCCAUAACAACAUUAGCUUCAAAGUUGAUCACAAAUAUUAACAGCUCAAGCUAUGUAAAGAAAUAUCAUCAGAGGGCCUAAGAUAUCCUACACGCUGGGUCAUCCAUUAUUUGUCAUCUCUCAAACACAGAUAAAGUUACUGUUACAUGCACUUCCUGGUUUGGGUAUGAAUUUGAUAUAUUUGAUCACAUCCGACUAAAGACAUCCUAUAAACUUCUUCCGCCACCACUCAAUAUAGUCACCAUAGUUGGAGAUAUGCUAUCUCUUAGAGUAUUUAAAAGGGAAAUAGAGUUUAAUCCUCAUAUAUGAUACACAUAGAUCUGAUAACCAUAUGUCAAAAUUAAGUAGUAACAAUUAUUUCAAAUUAGAUGGUACGUUGAAAAGAUGCCAAUUAAAAGAUUUCAAACUACCAUCACCUUUGCUUCAAUUUUUGUUAAAAAACCAUGAUUUUUAUACAUAGAUCCAUAAUUCACAGUUAGAUUACUGAAAACUUAUUUCUUAACUAGAAAUUCAGAAUAGAGCAGUCCAUUAUUAUUGAUAUGUAUGACUGGCAUUCUGCCUCAGACUUGUAUCAUUUCGAGUCAGUGCAUAUAUAUAACAUGAAUGAAAUUACCUGCAACAAAGGAACUUCCUCAAUUGGAAGCUCAGCUCCAAGGUCUCCACGAGCAAUCAUAGCCUAUAAAGUCCACCAACAAAAAUGAAACUACAUAAUAUGCCAUUGCUGAUGGUAAUAACUAACAAUUGAGGAUCAGCUGGGCUACUGUUCAUGAAAAUAAAGUCACAACUAAUGCUAACCCCAUCAGAUGCAGAAAUUAUUGAUUGAAGAUUUGGUAUAGAGUCUGCACUUUCAAUUUUUACAAUAACAUGAAUAUCUGCAUUACAACCUGCAAGAAAUACAACACUCAGUUCAGGAGUCAAUAACAUAGAGAAGCACCAAAAAGAAAUUAACUAAAAAUGAAUAAGAGAUUGAAAGUAGGAAUAACUGAGGUGUCUAGAGUAAUACCUUUGAGAUAAUCUUUCAACUCAUGAACCACCGCAGCACUUUUUACGAAUGAGACAGCAUAGAAAUCAACUCCAUUGUCCACUCCAAACUUGAUAUCUUCCCAGUCUUUUUCUGUAGAAAGAGAUCGAUAGAGCAUUAAUGAAAAUUGUAGUUGGAAUAUAGGAUGAGAGAUGUUCUGCUGACUGGAUCAAAAUGGUAGGGAAAAGCAGUUCAUCAAGAUUAGAUAAAAUAGUUCUUAACAAAGGAAUAAUCAGAUUUGGUAAUCGGUAAUUUUCCGGUGAAAUAAGCCUUUUUUUUUGGGAAGUGGUUGUAUUGGACUUGGCAGAGGAUUCAUUAUGGCUACAGUUUAGCAGAAAAUAUGGUGUUCUUAACAUAUAUAUCGAUCCAUUCUCUAAUAACUUAAUUUUUUUGGAUAACAGUGCAUAGUCAGAUGUCUAAUUACACACACACACACACACACAACAAAAAAAAGAAGCUAAAUUGUCGUGCAGUUGCACUGUGUUAGCCUUUUCUUUUUGUUCAUCUGGAUAUAAAGUAAUAAGAGUUUUUCUGGUAGUUUGGGUCAGGUGAGGAUUGGGAUGAGCUGACAAGGCCAGAUCAUGCUCAUUGCCUGGUAUCACUAUACACAUAAUUUAUGGCUUCCCAACUCGUUGAUGUUUAUCUGGCUCAGAAGGCUAUAGUAUGUUAGUAAAUUAAUAUUACUGUUUUCUUUAUUUCUUACAUGUUUGUUCCUUCUUAUAAAUAACAAUGUGGACAACAAAUGGAAAAAUUCAAAUAAACUCGCACAACAUUAAUGAAGAAUACCUGUUAUUGAAGGCAGAGUUGCACUUUUUCCACGCACAUUUAAAUGGCGCCUUGAUUUUAGUUCUCCUCCAUCAACUACUAAACAUUUUACCACAUCUUUUGUCUUUGACUUCACAGCUAAAGACAUCAUCCCACCUGGUAGAAACACAAGCUACAUCAUCAGGUAUCGUCAAAUUUUCAAAAUAUGAGUAUAAAAGGGAGAUGGUGAAAGAACUCUCUUUGUUACAUUCAUAGCUUAUGAACUCAGCACAUCAAAUAUUUGACAUGUAUACACACAAGUACGGAGUCUUUUCUCUUGUCAGAUGACAGCAUGCUAUGAUAUCAGACUCACAAUCUGGAAUAGAUCACGUACUUAUUUGCUUAAACAAUGUCUCAACAACUUGAGGUUAAGAAACACCAGCGCACUAAAAAAAUCUAGUAUAGCUCUAUAGACUGGCUUUUCUCAUCAAAGUUGAUCACAGCAAUAAAUCAAUAAAUUUUUCAAGCUCCCAAUUACAGAGUUCUAGAUUCCACUGAAUCACAUGCACAAAAUAAGGGCCGUCAAUCUCUUGGAGUCAACAUUUAACUUUCCAGUACAUACUUACAAGUUACAACAAGAACAAGUCAGCUCAAAUGAAAAUUAGCUCAUCUACCAAUUUCGCACCCACAAAGAGACAGCUAUACUUACCAUCAACCAGAACUAUGUCUCCAACCUCCACAUCAUUCACAAAGUCAUCAUAGUUUACACUAACAGUGUCUUUUGUGCAAACUCCUCUUUUAAUUGUAAAGUUGAGCUCUUGUCCCUCUGCAAGCAGAAUUGGUUGAGGCACAUCCCCACUCCUAACCUCAGGACCCUACAUGAAUCAUAUAAAAAACUAUGACCUUAAAACUUUGAAUGGAAACCACAUAAAAAGAAGGUGGAAGAAUGAGGAUGAUCUAUGAAAGAGUAAAGACCCUGAGCACCUAACAACAGGCUCAUUACAAUAUGAGCAGGUGAAGAACGAGACGAAAAUGUAAUGUGAAUGUACCUUGGUGUCCAGCAUUAUGGCUAUAACCUUGUCUUUGAAUUGAGAGUUGUACUCUUUGACAAGAUCAAUGGUUUUCUGGUGCGACGUAUGGUCCCCGUGAGACAUAUUCAAACGCGCUACAUUCAUCCCAGUUUCUGCAAGUUUCCAUAUCAUUUCACGUGAGCUUGUGGAAGGACCAAUGGUACAGACUAUCUUAGUUUUUCUUCGGCCACAGGCAAAUGCCCUUCCCUGACCCACAUGGUAAUCAUCAUAAGACCGAAUUUCAUAAGUCAAGUUAACCCCCUGAAACAAAUCAACAACAUUUCACGGUUACAACUUCAAAGCACUCACGACUGAUACUACCAAUGCACUCUCACGGCAAACGUUCCCUCACUACACAGCAAACAAAAAAGUAGGCAGUUCAACUAAUUCAACAAAUUUGACAACUAAAUUUCCAAGUUUCUUCUUUUAGCCUAAGCUUUCUAAGAGCAUAGAUCAUAACAAACUAACAACAUAGGUGUUUCAAGCACACUUCAAGCAAAAGACACACUUUCUGCCAAUGUUGCCAAGCAAUUUUGAAACCCAUGAUCUCAAAUUUCGAAAGUAUCAAUCUUUCAACAGUCUAACUAAACAAGCAAUACAAAACAAACUCAAGGAAACACAUGAAAUCAAUACAACAACCCAUAUUGAGAGAAAAGGGAAACUCACAACACCACCAACAGGGCCAUUAGGAGAGGCAGGACUGCCUCCACUGCUCUGCUGGGUGAUCCUCACUGAUCUAACACUGAACAUUUGCUUCCGGUCAUUUUCUCUCUUGGGUCUGUAGUCAAAGACAAUAGAUUCUCCCAAACUCUUGGAGGAAGCCAACCGAUCAGUGGACCAUGUCCGGUCAGGCUUCAGGGACAUCCUGGCCGGAACAUUAAGAGUCGUCAUUGAACAAAAAAAAAAACAACAAAAAAAAAGCUCUGAUGGUAUUGGUAGACUCGAAAAAAGUGAGAGGUUAGGAGACAAAAGGCAAAGGGUGUGUUUAUGUGGUGAAACGGAAGAGAAGGAACACAAGGACGAGAGAGAGUCUCGUUAACAAGUAACGAAGAGGAGGCAGUGAGUCCAGGUAUACUUGUUUUGCUUGUUUACUAACUAUUUUGGACAGUUGCCCCAGUCUUGGACAGACUCACUUGUUUCCUCUGGCAUAUUCUGCAGUAUAAAGCCUUUCGUGUUUUUCUCAUUCUUUUUGGCUGCAUUGCGGGACCGGUCCUCUUUAUUUUUCAUAUUUUAUUUUAUUAAGGGUAGAAGAGUCUUUUGCCAUAAAACCUAAGUGAUUGUCGACCGGAAUACUAACUCGGAAUAUAUAUCGUCCACCUGGACGGCCCCCUGUCCAUUUUUAUACAGGGCUUCUAGAGUAACAAUCACUAUUAAAAGUAGAUAUUACAAGAGAAGCUCAUAUUCUCGUUAAGAAAGCACAUGCUCGUGCACAGUAAAACAUACAACAUUUUUCAUAUCCUCUUAAUUUUAAGGUCAGUUUCAAUUGAUGUAACGUCACAACACACGAAAGUAAAUUUACCGAUCACUUUUAUUUACCCACCCUAAUACCCACACACCUCGUUUUAUGACAUGUGUCAUUUUUGUUAAGAGUGUGGCUAUUGAGACCUCCAAAUUUACUCACUAUACCUCUCAUUCUCUCAACAUCUCUCUUUUACUUUUCAAUAUAAGUAUUUGCUUACUACACCUCAUUUUAAAUUUCUAACACAACCUUAGUUAUUUAUUGAUAUAUAUUUCAAUCAAUUAAUUACCUCUUAUUCACUCAAUAGACCUCUCAUUCUUUGUUUUUUUUUUUCCUCUCUUUUUAUUUUUCAACAUCCAUUAUGCCUAUCUUCAUUUUUUGCUUACUUUUUUCAUGCAAGAAAAUGUUCUAUCAUGAACUAUUCUAUAUAUCUUUUUAAUUGUUUUUCUCUUUUGUACUUUCUCCAUUUUUUUUUCUUUUGAAUAAUUUGAUCUCUGUUUUGUACCUCAUAAUAAAUUAUUUCAAUAAAUAUAUAUUUUCAAUAAAUAUAUAUUUUCUAAAAAUCGAUAGAUAUUUUUUUUGUACAAAUAUUUAUGCACCUUGCAAGUAUAUGCAUUCAACAUGUAUGAUAAUACAAAAUUGUAUGUCUCAUAAUCGAUAUUGAUUAUUUUCUUAGCUCUUAUAAACUAUAUAUAUGCUUUAAUAAUAAAAAUAAAUUGAAAAACAAAAAUAUAUAAAGAAAAUAAUAAAGAAUAGAAUCAAUUAUUAUUGAAUUAGAAAGUCUAAAAAGAAUAAAUAUAAUAUUUUCUUUUGUAUAAUUAUUGUCCAUAAUAGUCAUUGUGUAUAAGGAUGUAUAUGUCAUUUAAUAAUUCACAAUAAAAUGAGGUCUAGUGAGCAAAUUUAGAGGUCUCAAUAGCCGCACUCUUUUGUUAACUAUACUAAACCAUGGUUAACAAACAAGAAUAAAUAAAUAUUGUUUUCUUUUCAUUUAUAAAUUUCGUAACAACACUAGUGUUUUUAAUAAAAAAAAGCAACAUGUCCGUCACAACACUAGUGAUUUUCCUUGCUAUUAUAAAUUCUAAUGAGAAUUCGUGCAUGACCGAGUUUUAAAAUCUCGAAACAACUUUUUUUUAUUAUUACAUAAAUUUUAACUGCGGAAAUCGAACUCAUAAUCUUUCACUUAUUAAAUGAGAGACUAUGCCACUAGAUUAAAUGGUAUUGGACAAUCUCAAAACUACUCGUACAUUAUUCGUUAAAAAAGUGUAUCUUUUUGUUAAUUUCUUAUUUCUUUCUCCGGCUGUAAAAAGAAAAACACAAUUCGCGCAGUUCCAGUCCCCGAACCCAAUCAAAACUUGAAGACCCUGCUGUUGCUGCUGCUGCUCCUCACCGAGUCACUGGUCCUAUUCACACAGAAAAUCAAAAAUGAAGAUCUCCAAGACGACCAAGACGCCCAACACUACCGCAACUCUCUUCUAAGAACUAACCAUUCACUUCUUCAAUCGCCGCCGUCCCUUCCUCCACCUCCUCCUAUCAUCUCAAGGUAACCCCUUUGCUAUUUUAGUAAUUUACACCCACAUUGGGGAUUAGGGUUUUAAUUUUAAUUUUAAUUUUAAUUUUUUACCGACUCCUUUUCGUGAGAGAGUAGGAAAUCCAGAUUGAAUUAGGAUUUGCAAUAUUAAUCAGACUAUAUAAGAUUGAGUUGCAAUAUUUACC